UAAAUAAACGCGUGCAUAUUUACACGUGCAAUUGCAGGCGUUAAAUAAACGCCUGAACGCCACAUGCAAAUCACUGCCCACAAUUUCCCUAGCUCCUCCUGCAGUUAGCUGGGCUUGUGUGAUUGGAUUCCUCCCUCUAUUUUCAAGUACCAUGGAUCCUCCCCACUGUAGAAGCGGCCUAUUCAAAACAAGUUUAGCCCAGCACAGUCAGAAGUUUAAGAUGGCAAGAAGGAACUUCCUACGAAACUGCAAGCAGACCCUAAAUGACUGCACUCGGCUUUUGUUAUUCGAUAACGCUGGACACGACGACCUUCAGUCCACGUUGACAAGGAUGGAAACAAUGCAGCGAAGCCUAGAGUGGGCAAGGGGUACGCUCUUGAAUGUUGCUUCAGCAGACGGCCUGAUAGCUUAAGUGUCCGAGUUCAUCGAGGAGAUUCGCACCUAUGGUCGGCAUGCACAACAAACCAGUUCCGGUUACCAGGCUCCAUUGACUUGGACUGGAGCAAUGGGGACUCCUCAUUAUCACAUCACCGGAGAACAACUGAGGGGUCUGAUGAUGGAUGGAAGAUAUUCUCCACGUGUUCGACUACACUCAAAACCACAUCUGAGAUACUUUGCAUUAACCUGAGGUCAGCUGCGUCCCAUCAAUGUCGCAGCGGCUGCACAUAAGGUACAGUGUUGCUGCUCUGAAUUCUUGAUGACACAUCGAUGGAAACUACAGACUGAAGAUGGAGGAUAGUCAUCCAUGGUGGCAUUGAUGGUCACAGCUGCCAUGUGUUUCUCCACGCUUCCAGCAACAAGUGCAGCAUUACUAAAUGCUGAGGCCAGACAGUCCGUCCAGGCUUAGAACAGGAUCUGGUAGAAGCUAGAUUUCUGUGAUUGCCACCUUUUGAAUUGGAUAACCAUGGACCAGAACAAGAUAAUCAAUAUUUUCCUGCAGUAGUGAAUGUAUGUUACUGCUCGACAUUAAAUUAUAAAACGAGAAGAAGUGAAUGUAGCUUGUUUCAUAACAAGAUGGGUUGAUGGAGUGAUAUGGAGGGGUGAUUGUCAUUGUUUGUUUAC